rfam:Schistosoma haematobium scaffold119_2, whole genome shotgun sequence.
AUCUAGCUGAUGAGUCUCGAAGUAGGACGAAACGCGCGUCCUGGAU